AACGAACGCUGGCGGCGUGCCUAACACAUGCAAGUCGAACGAGAAAGGGGCUUCGGCUCCGAGUAAAGUGGCGCACGGGUGAGUAACACGUGGGUAACCUGCCUCUAAGAUUGGGAUAACUCGUCGAAAGAUGAGCUAAUACCGGAUAAGACCACAGUUCCCGCGGGAACAGGGGUCAAAGGUAGCCUCUGCUUGCAAGCUAUCACUUAGAGAUGGGUCUGCGCACCAUUAGCUAGUUGGUAGGGUAACGGCCUACCAAGGCAAAGAUGGUUAGCUGGUCUGAGAGGAUGAUCAGCCACACUGGAACUGAGACACGGUCCAGACUCCUACGGGAGGCAGCAGGGGGGAAUAUUGCGCAAUGGGCGAAAGCUUGACGCAGCAACGCCGCGUGAGUGAUGAAGGCCUUCGGGUCGUAAAGCUCUGUCGGGAGGAACGAAUGCUCCCAAGGUUAGCAGCCUCGGGAGGUGACGGUACCUUCAAAGGAAGCACCGGUUAACUCUGUGCCAGCCGCCGCCGUAACAC
rnacentral:rRNA from 1 species